AGAGUUUGAUCCUGGCUCAGGACGAACGCUUGCGGCGUGCCUAAGAAAUGCAAGUCGAACGGGAGUAGUAAUACUCUAGUGGCGAACGGUCGCGUAACACGUAAGCAACCUGCCUCAAAGUGGGGGACAACAGCUCGAAAGGGCUGCUAAUACCGCAUAUUGUCAAUUUUUCGCAUGUUAAAUUGACCAAAGGAUUUAUUCGCUUUGAGAUGGGCUUGCGGCCUAUCAGGUAGUUGGUGAGGUAAUGGCUCACCAAGCCUACGACGGGUAGCUGGUCUGAGAGGACGAUCAGCCGGAUUGGGACUGAGAUACGGCCCAGACUCCUACGGGGGGCAGCAAUUAGGAAUCUUGCACAAUGGGGGAAACCCUGAUGCAGCGACGUCGCGUGGAGGAUGAAGGAUCUAUGGUCUGUAAACUCCUCUUAUUGGGGAAGAAAAAAUGACGGUACCCAAUGAAUAAGCCCCGGCUAACUACGUGCCAGCAGCCGCGGUAAUACGUAGGGGGCGAGCGUUGUCCGAAGUUACUGGGCGUAAAGCGCUUGUAGGCGGCUACUUAAGUCUGAGGUGAAAGGUUCAACGCUCAACGUGAACAGUGCCUUGGAUACUGGGUGGCUUGAGUUAGGCAGGGGAAAAUGGAAUUUCUGGUGUAGCGGUGAAAUGCGUAGAUAUCAGAAGGAACACCAAUGGCGAAGGCAAUUUUCUGGGCUAUAACUGACGCUGAGAAGCGAAAGCGUGGGGAGCAAACGGGAUUAGAUACCCCGGUAGUCCACGCUGUAAACGAUGAGUGCUAGGUGUCGGGGGUAUCGACCCUCCCGGUGCCGUCGCUAACGCAUUAAGCACUCCGCCUGGGGAGUACGGCCGCAAGGUUGAAACUCAAAGGAAUUGACGGGGGACCGCACAAGCGGUGGAGCAUGUGGAUUAAUUCGUCACUAACCGAAGAACCUUACCCAGAUUUGACAUCUAGAGAAUCUGCCUGAAAGGGCGGAGUGCCUUCGGGAACUCUAAGACAGGUGUUGCAUGGCUGUCGUCAGCUCGUGUCGUGAGAUGUUGGGUUAAGUCCCGCAACGAGCGCAACCCUCAUCGUAUGUUGCCAGCGUAAAGUCGGGCACUCUUACGAAACUGCCUGCGCAAGCAGGAGGAAGGUGGGGAUGACGUCAAGUCGGCAUGGCCCUUACAUCUGGGGCUUCACACAUGCUACAAUGGGUAGUACAAAGAGCAGCGAGCCCGCGAGGUGGAGCGAAUCUCAAAAAACUAUCCUCAGUUCGGAUUGUAGGCUGCAACUCGCCUACAUGAAGUUGGAAUCGCUAGUAACCGCAGGUCAGCUAAACUGCGGUGAAUCUGUUCCCGGUCCUUGUACACACCGCCCGUCAAGUCACCUGAAUUGUCUGCACCCGAAGCCGGUGGCUUAACUCGCAAGAGAGAGAGCCGUCUAAGGUGUGGGGAGUAAGGGGGACUAAGUCGUAACAAGGUA
rnacentral:rRNA from 1 species